rnacentral:tRNA from 9 species
GGCGGUGUAGCUCAGUUGGUUAGAGCAGCGGAAUCAUAAUCCGCGUGUCGGGGGUUCGAGUCCCUCCACCGCUA